GUAUGGGAGAUGUAGUCCUGCAGCAGCUGGAGGGCCGCAGGUUGGACGCCCCUGCUGUAGACUUUUAUCCGGUGCGUACAAAUAGCUAGAAUGGGAACCGGAAAGUCAAGUUUCUCUACCAGCCCCAGUUCAAAAGCAAACGAAUGGUAAAUAGGAACACAAUGUUUGUGGACAAUGAAAAAGGAAGUCGGCUGUAAAUUAUUAAAGUAUUUUAAGCAA